AUAUUGCACAAUGGGGGAAACCCUGAUGCAGCGACGCCGCGUGAGCGAAGUAGUAUUUCGGUAUGUAAAGCUUUAUCAGCAGGAAAGAAAAUGACGGUACCUGACUAAGAAGUGCCGGCUAAAUACGUACCAGCAGCCGCGGUAAUACGUAUGGAGCAAGCGUUAUCCGGAUUUACUGGGUGUAAAGGGAGCGCAGGCGGUCUGGCAAGUCUGGUGUGAAAGGCCGGGGCUCAACCCCGGGACUGCAUUGGAAACUGUCAGACUGGAGUGUCGGAGAGGUAAGCGGAAUUCCUAGUGUAGCGGUGAAAUGCGUAGAUAUUAGGAGGAACACCAGUGGCGAAGGCGGCUUACUGGACGAUGACUGACGCUGAGGCUUGAAAGCGUGGGGAGCAAACAGG
rnacentral:rRNA from 1 species